GCUUGCUUCAGCCAAUGUGAGAAUUGGAAUGAUACACAAAAGAUUAUCGUGGCCCCUGCACAAGGAUGACACACAAAUCCAUGAAGCAUUCUAUACUUUC
ensembl:snRNA U6 U6 spliceosomal RNA